AGCUUAACAAUGUACCAAACAUUUCUGUAGGAGGAAAUUUUAGAUUUUACGACCCUACCUGAUCCUUGAACGCAUCACCGCAUGCGCUCUCAAACUAUAAGACCAUGACGUCAGACGCCGAGAUUAGCACACCAUGGCAGCGGUGGUGUCGGCGCUUCAUGGCGGGGUCGAAAUGUAAAACCCCGGGGGCUUAACGGCAAUGUUGCCUUUGUCAGAAAUGUUCGCAAAAGUUAAGAGACACCGGGACGAUCGCGUCCAACGACAGGAGGAGCUCGGAAAUUCACUGAGAAAGAACCACGCCCUCCUGUAAGCUGUGAGGAAAAGACACCGGGAGAACCUCGUCCUUUAAAACUGAACAAGAAAAGUAGAUCUACGAACCAGUAAGACUCAUUUUUCUUUUUAUUCUGUGUGUUUUGGAAGGCCGCCGCGCCGCUCUCUCACAAACACGCACACAUGCACACACACUGACUUUUACAUCCUCCCCUCUGUCUGUCUUUGCUGUGUAUUGAAGGUGGAUUGUCAUGGCCGCCGUGUCGUGACUAUUUGUUUGUCUCAUCAGCUUGAAAUGUUUUAUUUUAUGUGUGUUAUGUGUCUUUUCUUGGCCGCCGCGCCAUGACUAUUUUUUUACAACACCCGUUUGACCGACAUAGCCAUAGUCUGCGCAUCCAAUUUGACCAUGGCCACCAAAUUAUUUCGUCCGUGCGUUCAACACGGCCACCCAUUCGUUUGUCUCUCUUUGUCUAUUUCUCUCUGUUUUUCUUCUGUGUUGAGGAACAGAUAGCAGAUCUCUUAAUUGUGUCGGGAGGGAUGGCCUUCCAACACAAUUGGAGAAUUUAGCGGUCUUGUCGUUUGGAUAGUGAGCUUAUUUAGAGGACUGCUGAGUGGUUGGAAGCUUACAGAGAAAUUCUGUCUCCUUGUUUGUUGGACCUAAAUACACACACUAGUGAGUGUGACCAGGUAGAGUAAAAUGUAGGUUCAGAGCUGGACUGAUGUGGCGCAGAGACUGAAGGGACUCUUUCAGGGCUCUGUGGUGGGUCAGACAGUUUUUUUUUUU